GACAGAGGGGGCAAGCGUUGCUCGGAAUUACUGGGCGUAAAGGGCGCGUAGGCGGGAUGGCAAGUCGGUCGUGAAAUCCCUCGGCUUAACCGAGGAACUGCCGUCCAAACUGCUUCGCUUGAGACCGGGAGAGGUGAGUGGAAUUCCCAGUGUAGCGGUGAAAUGCGUAGAUAUUGGGAGGAACACCAGUGGCGAAGGCGGCUCACUGGACCGGUACUGACGCUGAUGCGCGAAAGCGUGGGGAGCAAACGGG
rnacentral:rRNA from 1 species